rnacentral:lncRNA from 1 species
GUUAAAAAUUUUUUUUGUAGAGACAGGGUCUCCCUAUGUUGCCCAGGCUGGUAUUGAACUCCUGGCCCCUAGGGAUUCUCCCAUCUAAGCUUCCCAAAGUGUCGGGAUUACAGGUGUGGCCACUGCACAGGGCCAGGACAAGGAUUCUUAAUCCCACUCCAGGAUGGGAAACCCAUGGCCGAGUGGGAAGAAACCAGCUGAGGUCACAUCACCAGAGGAGGGAGAGUGUGGCCCCUGACUCAGUCCAUCAGCUUGUGUAGCUGAGGUCUGGGCCAGGUCUAACCAGGCUCCCCACUCCUCCCAACCUGAGCCUGCCCUCUGAUCUCUGCCUGUUCCUCUGUCCCACAGGGGGCAAAGGCUACGGGUCAGAGAGCGGGGAGGAGGACUUUGCUGCCUUUCGAGCCUGGCUGCGCUGCUAUGGCAUGCCAGGCAUGAGCUCCCUGCAGGACCGGCAUGGCCGUACCAUCUGGUUCCAGGGGGAUCCUGGACCGUUGGCACCCAAAGGUAAGCUACUCCUAAUGUAAUAGGCUAAGAGAGCAGAAAGGACUUCACGCCUGCAAGGGCUACAGCACCCUUCUCCACCCUAUCCCCCUGCAACCCUGGGAGUCACCCCUGGGCAGGAUAGGACCCUCCAACUCCAACACCAGUGUCCUGCAGGGCGCAAGUCCCGCAAAAAGAAAUCCAAGGCCACACAGCUGAGUCCUGAGGACAGAGUGGAGGACGCUUUGCCUCCAAGCAAGGCCCCUUCCAGGACACGAAGGGCAAAGAGAGACCUUCCUAAGAGGACUGCAACCCAGCGGCCUGAGGGGACCAGCCUCCAGCAGGACCCAGAAGCUCCCACAGUGCCCAAGAAGGGGAGGAGGAAGGGGCGACAGGCAGCCUCUGGCCACUGCAGACCCCGGAAGGUCAAGGCUGACAUCCCAUCCUUGGAACCAGAGGGGACCUCAGCCUCUUAGCAGGAGGCUCUCCUUGCUUGCACUCACCCUUUCUUAUUGUCUUGCCCUGCAUCUGGGGGUCUGAAUUUUUGGGAGCAGGCAAUAUCUGAAGGUGCAAACAGGCCCUACGGCUGUUCCCUGCACAACUCUCAUGGUUUUAAUUGUACCCCAUCUUCCACAUCUUUAAAGCUCAUGUGAAAAAUGCUGCAUUUUUAAUAAACUGAUACAUUUGAA